rnacentral:rRNA from 1 species
UAAGGAAUAUUGGUCAAUGGGGGCAACCCUGAACCAGCCAUGCCGCGUGCAGGAAGACGGCCCUACGGGUUGUAAACUGCUUUUAUACGGGAAUAAAUCACGCUACGUGUAGGGUGUUGAAUGUACUGUAAGAAUAAGGAUCGGCUAACUCCGUGCCAGCAGCCGCGGUAAUACGGAGGAUCCAAGCGUUAUCCGGAUUUAUUGGGUUUAAAGGGUGCGUAGGCGGCCUAUUAAGUCAGGGGUGAAAGACGGUGGCUCAACCAUCGCAGUGCCCUUGAUACUGAUGGGCUUGAUUACACUUGAGGUAGGCGGAAUGUGACAAGUAGCGGUGAAAUGCAUAGAUAUGUCACAGAACACCAAUUGCGAAGGCAGCUUACUAAGGUGUUAAUGACGCUGAGGCACGAAAGCGUGGGGAUCAAACAGGAUUAGAUACCCUGGUAGUCCACGCCCUAAACGAUGAAUACUCGAUGUUAGCGAUAUACAGUUAGCGUCAAAGCGAAAGCGUUAAGUACUCCACCUGGGGAGUACGCCCGCAAGGGUGAAACUCAAAGGAAUUGACGG